GGGGUUGUGGCUCAGUGGUAGAGUACUUGCCUGGCAUGUGUGAGGCACUGGAUUUGAUCCUCAGUACCACAUAAAAAUGAAUGAAUAAAAUAAAGAUAUUGUGUCCAUCUACAACUAAAAAAAUAUUAAGAGUUUAUAGUAAUUCCUGUGGCUCAGGAGGCUAUAGUAUGAGAAUGUAAGUUCAAAGCCAGCCUCA
rnacentral:tRNA from 1 species